UACGUAGGGAGCAAGCGUUGUCCGGAAUCAUUGGGGCGUAAAGGGCUCGUAGGCGGCCAACUAAGUCAGACGUGAAAUCCCCAGGCUCAACCUGGGAACUGCGUCUGAUACUGGAUGGCUUGAAUCCGGGAGAGGGAUGCAGAAUUCCAGGUGUAGCGGUGAAAUGACGUAGAUAUCUGGAGGAACACCGGUGGCGAAGGCGGCAUCCUGGACCGGUAGUUGACGCUGAGGCGCGAAAGCCAGGGGAGCAAACGGGG
rnacentral:rRNA from 1 species